AAAAACUUUCCCAUUGUAUUUUAGUGAAAUAAAAAAAACCAAAAAAUCAAAAUAAAGAAACAAAAUUCUCCUGCCCUUAGCUGAAGUGGAGGCGAGCUCGACUGCAUUCUGGCUUCUCUACCCUGUCGCAACAGCCCUGAAUGAAGAUCUUCCUUGCCUGUUCAACUUUGCCCAGUGCAAUUUUUGCUUUGACAAGAGGAAUGAUUAAAGCGCUGAGUCUUUGGAGUCAGACUGUCUGGAACCAAAUCCCAUCUCUGUCUCUUCCUAAAUGCACGACCUUCGUCAGCCUGUGCAAGGGCUUGGCCAAGGAAUGGGGAAAGAUGGAAGAGGAGCCUCUUUUCCUUCAAUGUGUGAACAGUAAGACGACAAACCCUGAGGCUUUUCCCCUGAGCCUGAUUUACCACAGGAAAUAAAAAGAUUCACAUGUCCUAUUAAUAGAACCAUGAUUUUCCUGCUGAAAACAGUAACAGAGUCCACAUGUCUCAGGGGAGAGCAGGAUCAGUAAAGCAUCAAGAUAACCCAUAGUGCAAAGAAAGAGAGACGAGGAAAUGAAUUCAGUCUUCUAAGACCUCAGUUUCUUUAUUUGUAAAUUAGAAAAAUAAUUCUUUCUUCACAGGGUUUGUGAUGAUUUAAAGCAAUAACAUCAUACAGAAGCAUUUUGAAAUACCAAAGAACUAUAAAGGCCAAAAAAUCUUGCUGAUAUAUUUUAAUAAUAAUAGAAAAAUAACAAAGACUUCUUUGUAGGCAGGGGUGAGAUAAUUGGUUUGGAUUUUUACAAAAUGUGCUGCAGUUUCCUUAGAAUUCAUAUAUCCUCAAGAAGAAGGAAAUACUAUUGAAAGAAAGCCUGCAAACAAAUUCCAUUCAACUGCUAAGUGAAAAUAAUUUCUGAUAUAAAAAUAAAUAGUGCAUCCAAACGGAAAUGAAUGCUCUGAUUUUAAGGAUAAAAAGAACACAUCUGAGAGCGAGAACGAUUCUGUUUUGCAACUGGUGGCCUUUGUUGCUGUUUUUAGUGUGAAGCAUUGGAGCUUAGACACACUGUGCUUUGCUCGUAAUCAUCCUGAGGUGAGGAUUGAAAAUGGAAUUCACAUUGAUGACACAGGACAUAUAUGAGUCUAUAUUAAGACUAACAGAAGUUUUACAACUUUGUGUUACAUAAUUAAAAUAAAUAUAAUGUGAAUGAAGUAAUAUCCAGUAUGCAGAUUUAGAACAGUUUUAAUUUCAAAGAAAUCUGAGAAUUUGUAUCAGGGAAAGACAGACUGCAUAAGUGGUGCCUGGAAUAAUGAACAGUGUGUUCACCAGAAGUUGCUGCUGCGUGGAUGAUGUGAAAGGAGACCCCCAAAAUUACUAAGCCAAAGGGAAAAGUCAAGCUGGGUACUGCUUAGGGCAAACCUGCCUCCACUGUAUUCCUAAAAACGAUAGCUACUAAGAUAAAAAAAAAAAAAAAGCUACAUACCUCCCUCACAAGGAAUAUCCUUGUGGACAAAGGACAGACACAACUCAAAAUCACUCCUCUGCUCACUGAGAUAAACGCAUACCUGUUUGCCUCCUUUGGAAAGGCUAAUCAGAAACUCAAAAGAAUGCAAGCAUUUGUCUCUUACCUACCUAUGACCUGGAAGCCCCCUCCCCAUUUCGAGUUGUCCUGCCUUUCUGGACAGAACCAAUGUAUAUCUUACAUAUGUUGAUUGAUGUCUCAUGUCUCCCUAAAAUGUAUAAAACCAAGCUAUGCCCUGACCACCUUGGGCACAUGUCAUCAGGACCUCCUGAGGCUGUGUCAUGGGCCCGCAACCUUAACUUUGGCAAAAUAAACUUCCUAAAUUGACUGAGACCUGUCUUGGAUAUUUGGGGUUCAACAAUGGUUACCACAGCACUACAGGCCCCAAAGCUAUAUGCAAACUGCACUGAGGGUCUGGCUGGGCCACAACAUAAAAGAUUUUCACUGCACGAAGAGGUACUGCUGCAAUCCAAAAUGGCGGCACUUCCUUCUACAUUUAUUGAGCAGAAUGUGGUACAAAAGUACGUGCUUGGAUAAUCAAAUAUUAAAUAAGUUAUUACAAUAACAUUUAGUAUGGCAUGCCAAUUUGGGAUUUCACUUACAUUUCCCGCUUCAAUAUUUCAAGUUGUAAAAUUGAGGUUUUGCAUUCAACCCAGCAAUCCCAUUACUGGGUAUAUAUCCAAAGGCGUAGAAAUCUUUGUAUUAUAAAGACACCUGCACACAAAUGUGCAUCACAGGACUAUUCACAACAGCAAUGACAUGGAAUCAACCUAAAUGUCCAUCAGUAGCAGACUGGAUAAAGAAAAUGUGGUACAUAUACACCAUGGAAUACUAUGCAGCCAUAAAAAAGAAUGAGAUCAUGUCUUUUGAGGGAACAUGCAUGGGGCUGAAGGCCAUCAUCCCCAGCAAACUGACACAGAAAAUCAAAUACCACAUGUUCUCACUUAUAAGUGGGAGUUAAAUGAUGAGAACACAGGGACACAAAGAAGGAAACAACAGACCCAGGGGCCUACUUGAGGGUGGAGGCUGGAAGAAGGGAGAGGAGCAGAAAAAAUAACUAUUGGGUAUUAGGCUUAGUACCUGGGUGACAAAAUAAUCUGUACAACAACCCCCCGUCACACGAGUUUAACUAUAUAACAAACCUGCACCUGUACCCCUGAACCUAAAAUAAAAGUUAGAAAAAAUAGAAGUUUUGGUCCUCUUUUUUUGCCUUAGACAUAAUUGAUAGCAAUGGGGAAGACUGCAUGUUCAGAAUCUGGCUGUUUGAGAAUCUUAAUAUUUUUAAAAGUGAAUUUAAAUGAUAACAAAAAGCAAAGAUUAUAGCUUCCCCUGCCAUAGCAUGGUGCUGUGGGUUACGCUAAUCUGAAACUGAGUAGAUGGUGGCAUACUCUGGGUUUUGAAAGCAAUUCUCUCCAACAGUCUGACAGCCACCCAGAGCACAGCAGCUUUGAAACAUGUUGCAUUCUGACCUUUUCCCAGUCUAGGGGCUCUGGACGAAGAACAAGGGCUCUAAAAUUAAGAUUGGAAGAUGCACAAACAAAGCACUGAAUGGAUUCCAAGGGAACCAAUCUCACAUUUCACUUCUGCAGAACUUUAUGGGAAGUUUAUGGGGAUUUAUU
rnacentral:lncRNA from 1 species